rnacentral:lncRNA from 1 species
AUCUUGAUGAGAAUUCGAUAAAAAAAAUGAAUUGACUACUUAUUUUAAAGGAAUUUACUAUUCUUCGGGUGCCUUUUUUGCUUUUGCCCCAUGUGGAGUGUCAUAUCAAAAUACUAGGCCUUGUUUAGUUACAAAAUUUUUGCCAAAAUAUGAAUAGUACCAAUUUCGUUUGUAUUUGACAAAUAUUGUCCAAUCAUGGACUAACUAGGCUCAAAAGAUUCGUCUCGUCAAUUCCGAUCAAACUGUGUAAUUAGUUUUUAUUUUCGUCUAUAUUUAAUACUUGAUGCAUACCUCUAAAGAUUCGAUGUGACGGAGAAUCUGAAAAAUUUUGUAAAUUUUUUUGGAACUAAACAAGGCCUGGAAGG